rnacentral:tRNA from 1 species
GUGGUGGGUAGCUCAGUGGAUAGAGCGCCUAAAUAUCCUUAUUCACUCCUUGCCUGAAAAGGCCGACGAAUCGAGGGUUAUCGCCUGCCAAGCGGGAGGUCGCGGGGGAAGCAAGCUACAAUUCCCGCUCCACUACACCA